UUCUCUUUGUGUUGGUGCUGGACACUAUUGUGGUAAUUUCUAGAAGGUUGUGUCUACUCUUCACGGCGGACACAGGCUUCUGCAUGGAGUUUUAACAUUUGUGAUCACCUCAUUGUGACCUGAGCUGCUGGGCUGCAUUGCAACGGAACAUUCACCUUUUUGCCCUCAUGUGUCAAUGAGCUGUGGACAGUUGAGCAUAUUGAAAAGUAGGCCUAUAUUUUCUAGCUACGUUUGAGUGGACUAUGCUAUGAUGUUUAAUGAGGCUGGCAACUAACACGCUUGUUCUCUCCUGAAAAGGGACCAGGCCAGCCACUGUUUUCCAGUAAUUAGUAUGCAUUUCUUUAUUGUGUUUGUUUGUUUGGUUAUCUGACUGCCUCUGGGCCUACUACCCAUGUGCCCCGAUCAUAGUAGCAUUGUACAUUAACAAGUGAUGCUAUUGAUGCUGGUGGUUCU